UACGGAGGGGGCUAGCGUUGUUCGGAAUUACUGGGCGUAAAGCGUACGUAGGCGGCUAUUCAAGUCAGAGGUGAAAGCCCGGGGCUCAACUCCGGAACUGCCUUUGAAACUAGGUAGCUAGAAUCACGGAGAGGUAAGUGGAAUUCCGAGUGUAGAGGUGAAAUUCGUAGAUAUUCGGAAGAACACCAGUGGCGAAGGCGGCUUACUGGACGUGUAUUGACGCUGAGGUACGAAAGCGUGGGGAGCAAACAGGAUUAGAUACCCUGGUAGUCCACGCCGUAAACGAUGAGAACUAGCUGUCAGGGCCCUUAGGGCUUUGGUGGCGCAGCUAACGCAUUAAGUUCUCCGCCUGGGGAGUACGGCCGCAAGGUUA
rnacentral:rRNA from 1 species